rnacentral:lncRNA from 1 species
UUGCUAUGGUGUUUGAUAUGCGUGUAUGGGCAAUUAUUUUGCCAUAGAAGUAUUUUCUAUUGAUUUUUCUUAAAUUAUUUCUUUACUACAAUCAGUUAUCUUUACUGCGUACUAGGGGCCAAAGAGGGACUUAAACCAAAAUUAAUAAUGAAAAUAGAAAAAUAAAUCAUGUCAUUAAUUUGGUGUGUAGAAAAGUUUCUUCAAAUUAACCCAAAAGAAAGCUUAUUCCUGCUCAUGUGCGGUCACUAUAGGACUAACACUACUGAUCCAGAGCAGCCCUUUGAGUGAUCAAAUCACCUGUUCGUCUAAACUCCAAGUCUACCACAAGUCGAUUGUUUCUCUUGUAGGCUCUUCCCAUCUCUGUAUGAGUGAAGAGAGAAAAGAAGAUAUAGCUGAAUAUGCUAUUAGAGGUAAUGUUCAGACAAGAAAGCAAUGUACAGAUAUUACUUUAAAUCCCAUCCCAUCAAGAAACUGCCAAGACCUCAAAUUCUCAUGAUGAUACCUUUGGGAGCUGUAGGGCAUCUUGAAAACAUUGCUGCAUGUCACAAUCCUCAAAUAAAGCACUUAACCUGUGACAUUGAUGUGUCCUUAAGUCCACAGCCAUAACAUGAUGUGGUUCCGUAGUUUUCUUCAAGAUCCAAACAUCAGAGGAUGCUUGAAUAAAACUUAGGACAUUUUUAAGGUAAAGAGCUCCAGUCUUACAUAGUCUUAGGAAAAAGUCAGCAGCUAAAAGGUUAAAAAAAGCAAUUUUUAGCUCAGUGUGAAUAGUAACUCAUUUUCAAAUGCUUACAAAUGGCUUUUUUGAGAAUGGGUAAUUUUAAAGUUAGGUACACAGAAACUUUUCUAAAUUUAGGUUGCUGGCCUUUUGUAUUUGACUGCUAGAAUAAGAAGUUUCAAGAAGUUUUAAUAGUGCUUGAUUUUUUUUUUUUUAAUUUUUUUUUUAAACAGGGGUAAGUAUUUAGUCAAACUCUUAUUUGAAACUAUACUGAUUGAAAAAUUGGAAUCAUCACCUCUGGAUGAGGUGAAGCAUGAAGAAUUCACCCCUGUUUCAAAAGAUGAAGAACAUUUUAAAAUCAUGAGUUAUAAAGCAAAGGGAUGUGCAUA